UGGGGAAUCUUGGACAAUGGGGGCAACCCUGAUCCAGCCAUGCCGCGUGAGUGAUGAAGGCCUUAGGGUCGUAAAGCUCUUUCGCCUGUGAAGAUAAUGACGGUAGCAGGUAAAGAAACCCCGGCUAACUCCGUGCCAGCAGCCGCGGUAAUACGGAGGGGGUUAGCGUUGUUCGGAAUUACUGGGCGUAAAGCGCACGUAGGCGGACCAGAAAGUUGGGGGUGAAAUCCCGGGGGCUCAACCCCGGAACUGCCUCCAAAACUAUUGGUCUAGAGUUCGAGAGAGGUGAGUGGAAUUCCAAGUGUAGAGGUGAAAUUCGUAGAUAUUUGGAGGAACACCAGUGGCGAAGGCGGCUCACUGGCUCGAUACUGACGCUGAGGUGCGAAAGUGUGGGGAGCAAACAGGAUUAGAUACCCUGGUAGUCCACACCGUAAAACGAUGAAUGCCAGUCGUCGGGUAGCAUGCUAUUCGGUGACACACCUAACGGAUUAAGCAUUCCGCCUGGGGAGUACGGUCGCAAGAUUAAAACUCAAAGG
rnacentral:rRNA from 1 species